rnacentral:rRNA from 1 species
UACGAGGGGUGCUAGCGUUAUUCGGAAUUACUGGGCGUAAAGGGUGCGUAGACGGCGUGUUAAGUCCGUUGUUAAAUUCUUCGGCCUAACCGAAGGUCAGCAAUGGAAACUGGCAUGCUAGAGGAUGAGAGAGAGAAGUGGAAUUCCCGGAGUAGCGGUAAUAUGCGUAGAUCUCGGGAGGAACACCAAUGGCGAAGGCAGCUUCUUGGCUCAUUUCUGACGUUGAGGCACGAAAGUGUGGGGAGCAAACAGG